rnacentral:rRNA from 1 species
GUUAAUCGGAAUUACUGGGCGUAAAGGGUCUGUAGGUGGCCGGAUAAGUCGGAUGUGAAAACCCUGGGCUCAACCUGGGAACGGCAUUCGAUACUGUCUGGCUUGAGUGCGGCAGAGGAUCGGGGAAUUUCCGGUGUAGCAGUGAAAUGCACAGAGAUCGGAAGGAACAUCAAUGGCGAAGGCAACGAUCUGGGCACGCACUGACACUGAGGGACGAAAGCGUGGGGAGCAAACAGGAUUAGAUACCCUGGUAGUCCACGCCGUAAACGAUGAGUACUGGCUGUUUGUCCUGGUGUAAAAGGAUAAGUGGCGCAGCUAACGCGUUAAGUACUCCGCCUGGGGACUACGGCCGCAAGGCUAAAACUCAAAGGAAUUGACGGGGACCCGCACAAGCGGUGGAGCAUGUGGUUUAAUUCGAUGCAACGCGAAGAACCUUACCAUCCCUUGACAUCUGCGGAAGGCCUGAGAGAUCAAGCUGUGCCUUCGGGAACCGCAAGACAGGUGCUGCAAGGCUGUCGUCAGCUCGUGUUGUGAAAUGUUGGGUUAAGUCCCGCAACGAGCGCAACCCUUGUUUCCAGUUGCCAUCAUUUAGUUGGGCACUCUGGAGAGACUGCCGCUGAUA